rnacentral:rRNA from 1 species
GUGGGGAAUUUUGGACAAUGGGCGCAAGCCUGAUCCAGCAAUGCCGCGUGCAGGAAGAAGGCCUUCGGGUUGUAAACUGCUUUUGUACGGAACGAAGCGGUCCGGGUUAAUACCCUGGGCUAAUGACGGUACCGUAAGAAUAAGCACCGGCUAACUACGUGCCAGCAGCCGCGGUAAUACGCAGGGUGCAAGCGUUAAUCGGAAUUACUGGGCGUAAAGCGUGCGCAGGCGGUUUUGUAAGACAGGCGUGAAAUCCCCGGGCUCAACCUGGGAAUUGCGCUUGUGACUGCAAGGCUGGAGUGCGGCAGAGGGGGAUGGAAUUCCGCGUGUAGCAGUGAAAUGCGUAGAUAUGCGGAGGAACACCGAUGGCGAAGGCAAUCCCCUGGGCCUGCACUGACGCUCAUGCACGAAAGCGUGGGGAGCAAACAGGAUUAGAUACCCUUGUAGUCC